GACGAACGCUGGCGGCGUGCUUAACACAUGCAAGUCGAACGCUGAAGCUCAGCUUUUGUUGUGUGGAUGAGUGGCGAACGGGUGAGUAACACGUGAGUAACCUGCCCCCUUCUUUGGGAUAACGCCCGGAAACGGGUGCUAAUACUGGAUAUUCACUGGUCUUCGCGUGGGGGUUGGUGGAAAGGGUUUUUCUGGUGGGGGAUGGGCUCGCGGCCUAUCGGCUUGUUGGUGGGGGGAUGGCCUACCAAGGCUUUGACGGGUAGCCGGCCUGAGAGGGUGACCGGUAACAUUGGGACUGAGCUACGGCCCAGACUAGGACGGGAGGCAGAAGUGGGGAAGAUUGCACAAUGGGUGCAAGACUGAUGCAGCGACGCCGCGUGAGGGAUGGGGGCCUUAGGGUUGUGAACCUCUUUCGCACAUGGUGCAGCCGCAACAAUGGUUGUGGUGAGGGUAGUGGGUAAAGAAGCGCCGGCUAACUACGUG
rnacentral:rRNA from 1 species